UAUACAUGCAGUCGAGCGGACAGAAGGGAGCUUGCUCCCGGAUGUUAGCGGCGGACGGGUGAGUAACACGUGGGUAACCUGCCUGUAAGACUGGGAUAACUCCGGGAAACCGGAGCUAAUACCGGAUAGUUCCUUGAACCGCAUGGUUCAAGGAUGAAAGACGGUUUCGGCUGUCACUUACAGAUGGACCCGCGGCGCAUUAGCUAGUUGGUGAGGUAACGGCUCACCAAGGCGACGAUGCGUAGCCGACCUGAGAGGGUGAUCGGCCACACUGGGACUGAGACACGGCCCAGACUCCUACGGGAGGCAGCAGUAGGGAAUCUUCCGCAAUGGACGAAAGUCUGAC
rnacentral:rRNA from 1 species